rnacentral:lncRNA from 1 species
AGUAUUUGCUGGCGUGGGAUGAAAAGUAGCUUUUAAACUUCCAGGACGCAUCUGUUUUUCAACAGGAGUGUGAAUACUGAAGAGGCCUUAGUCUCCAGCACAAGCAGUUCAAACAGCUGGCACUCGUUUUGACUAGUGCUUUACCCCUGCAUUUGAACAACAGGAGCCUGAUGCUCCUCUCCCUCACAGCUGGUUUAUGACUCUGAUUCCCCUGACUUCAGUGAAGUUACCUCUGCUUUUAGCUUGUGC